AUACGAAGGGGGCUAGCGUUGUUCGGAAUUACUGGGCGUAAAGCGCACGUAGGCGGAUAUUUAAGUCAGGGGUGAAAUCCCGAGGCUCAACCUCGGAACUGCCUUCGAUACUGGGUAUCUUGAGUCCGGAAGAGGUGAGUGGAAUUCCGAGUGUAGAGGUGAAAUUCGUAGAUAUUCGGAGGAACACCAGUGGCGAAGGCGGCUCACUGGUCCGGUACUGACGCUGAGGUGCGAAAGCGUGGGGAGC
rnacentral:rRNA from 1 species